UACAGAGGUCUCAAGCGUUGUUCGGAUUCAUUGGGCGUAAAGGGUGCGUAGGCGGCGCGGUAAGUCGGGUGUGAAAGUCUCGGAGCUUAACUCCGAAACUGCAUUCGAUACUGCCGUGCUUGAGGACUGGAGAGGAGACUGGAAUUUACGGUGUAGCGGUGAAAUGCGUAGAUAUCGUAAGGAAGACCAGUGGCGAAGGCGGGUCUCUGGACAGUUCCUGACGCUGAGGCACGAAGGUCAGGGGAGCAAACGGG
rnacentral:rRNA from 1 species